rnacentral:lncRNA from 1 species
AUUAUAAUGAGCUGUCCUCCCCUCAGCAGCCUUCACUGGUAUCAAGAAUUGUUCACCACCGAAAGGACAUCCAGCCAACUUGAACUGACUGUGGAAAUUGAAGUCAACAUGGGGAUGCUGACUCCAAGGCUUCCCACAGUUGUGUCAAGUUGGAUGGCUGUCCUUUGGGUGGUGGACCAUUCUUGAUACACACGUGAAACUGUUGAGUGUGAAAAACCCACCAGCGUUGCAGUUCUUGACACAAACCGGCCUGGCACCUACUACCAUACCCCGCUCAAAAGGCACGUAAAUAUUUUGUUUUUCCCAAUCGAUGUCUCAAUUGUCUCAAGGCUUAAAAAUCCUUCUUUAAUCUGUCUCCUCCCCUUCAUCCACAAUGCUUGAAGUGGAUUUAACAAGUGACAUAAAUAAGGGAUCAUAACUUUCACCUGAAUUCACCUGGUCAGUCUUUGUCAUGGAAAGAGCAGGUGUUCAUAAUGUUUUGUUUUGUACACUCUGUGUAUAUACAUACACACAAACAUACAUACAUUUGCACACAUACAUUUUUUUAUGAUUUUAAAAAAAAAUUAUUUCACCUUUAUUUAACCAGGUAGGCAAGUUGAGAACAAGUUCUCAUUUACAAUUGCGGCCUGGCCAAGAUAAAGCAAAGCAGUUCGAACAACAUACAAAAACACAGAGUUACACAUGGAGUAAAACAACAUACAAUCAAUGAUACAGUAGAAAAAUAAGACUAUAUACAAUGUGAGCAAAUGAUGUGAGAUAAGGGAGGUAAAGGCAAAAAAAGGCCAUGGUGGCAGAGUAAAUACAGUGUAGCAAGUAAAACACUGGAAUGGUAGAUUUGUUAUUUGAAGAAAGUUCAAAGUUAAAAUAUAAAUAAUAUGGUGCAAAGGAGAAAAAUAAAUAAAAUAAAUAAAUACAGUAGGGGAAGAGGUAGUAGUUUGGGCUAAAUUAUAGAUGGGCUAUGUACAGGUGCAGUGAUCUGUGAGCUGCUCUGACAGCUGGUGCUUAAAGCUAGUGAGGGAGAUAAGUGUUUUUAACACCGUUUUAUGCAAUCAAGUGUCCUUUCUAUAAUCUUUGUUGAAAUUGACUGCAUGAUAGUGUUGAAGGCAAGGUGCACAGAGCAAUGUUUAUUAUUAAAACUUUUAUUUUACAAAUAAUAUGUAAUAGUCUGUUUAGCCUGGGUGCCAGUCUGUUUCUACUCUCUUGCCAACUCCUUAUGUAAUUGCC